UGCGGUCACACGGGGUCUGGACAAGAUGCCGACAAAACUUUAAAACUCGCCUGUGCCUUCCUCUCCUCUCCCAGGCAGGAAACUGCCUUCAUGCUGCUGCGCUGGAGAAGCCACAUGUCUACAUGUUUAUAAAUGAAUGGAAAGCACGAGGUGGACCAGGCACCUCACCUCCACCUUCUGCAGACUUGGUGAAUCCAAGUGCAGAACGUCUAAAGGAUUCUACAUGGCAAACUGCUUGUUCCUCAUCAAAAUUCCUCAAGCCUGCCGCUGGCCCCAGGCACACAGGUGCAUAUCCUCCUGCUCGGCUAGCCCCAGUACAGAGUUGUAUAUCCUAGUUGUAGGUCAGUCCAGUUCUUCUGUGUGGGAUGCCGCCACAGCAUGGUUUGACGAGAGGUGUGCAAGUCCACACUCAGGAUCUGAAUCAGCAAACCCCAGGCUGCUGAAGUGGAGAGCAUGAACCUUUUUUUGGGGGGGGGAGGAAGAUUAGCCCUGAGUUAACAUCUGCUGCCAACCCUCCUCUUUUUGCUGCAAAAGACUAGCCCUGAGCUAACAUCUGUGCCCAUCUUCCUCUACUUUAUAUGUGUGACACCUGCC
rnacentral:lncRNA from 1 species